GGCGGAGCACGUGUUUAAUGGAGCUCUGCCUACGGCUGUUCUGCCCUGGACAUCUCAUGUACCAAAAAAGAGGCUGCCAGAAAUGGAGAGCAGCUCGACUAAUCCAGCCUCGGCGAGUGCUUCCUGUUUGAAAAUGAGGCGAAAGCUUAUCCGACUAUUCCUCUUGCUGUGAAAAUUUCAUCUGUUUUUAUAGAUGCGUUUUCCCAACGGGUGAUCUAGAAC
rnacentral:lncRNA from 1 species